GACGAACGCUGGCGGCGUGCUUAACACAUGCAAGUCGAACGGAAAGGCCCUGCUUUUGUGGGGUGCUCGAGUGGCGAACGGGUGAGUAACACGUGAGUAACCUGCCCUUGACUUUGGGAUAACUUCAGGAAACUGGGGCUAAUACCGGAUAGGAGCUCCUGCUGCAUGGUGGGGGUUGGAAAGUUUCGGCGGUUGGGGAUGGACUCGCGGCUUAUCAGCUUGUUGGUGGGGUAGUGGCUUACCAAGGCUUUGACGGGUAGCCGGCCUGAGAGGGUGACCGGCCACAUUGGGACUGAGAUACGGCCCAGACUCCUACGGGAGGCAGCAGUGGGGAAUAUUACACAAUGGGCGGAAGCCUGAUGCAGCAACGCCGCGUGCGGGAUGACGGCCUUCGGGUUGUAAACCGCUUUCGCCUGUGACGAAGCGUGAGUGACGGUAAUGGGUAAAGAAGCACCGGCUAACUACGU
rnacentral:rRNA from 1 species